rnacentral:lncRNA from 1 species
AGAUAACUUCAAGUUUGCAAGUUGGUUCAUGGUGGUUGACCAGAGAAAGUCAACUGGUCAAAACUGGGUUUCAUUAGACCCUAUCUUCUACAGUUUGUGUCAUAUGAAAAUGAUUACAAGAGAAACUUUACUUAUUAUGACAUUCCAAACAACUUUAAUGUUAAGUUCAAGAUCUAGUUUUGCUUGGAAAGUCAUUUUU